GUUAUUUUGGCAGAUUAGUGUAAUGAAUUUAGAAUUCAUAAAUGUAUAUUAUACAAAUAAUA
rnacentral:tRNA from 1 species